ACGGGAGGCAGCAGCUAAGAAUAUUCCGCAAUGGACGAAAGUCUGACGGAGCGACGCCGCGUGGAUGAUGAAGGUCGGAAGAUUGUAAAAUCCUUUUUAGCAUGAAGAAUAAGCAGGGAAGUUAAUGGCCCUGCGGUUACGGUAGUGCUUGAAUAAGCAACGUCUAAUUACGUGCCAGCAGCCGCUGUAAUACGUAAGUUGCGAGCGUUGUUCGGAAUUAUUGGGCGUAAAGGGCAUGUAGGCGGAUAUGCAAGGUUGGUGUGAAAGGCGGGAGCUCAACUCCCGGACUGCGUUGAGAACUGCAUAACUAGAGUGACUGAGGGGCAGGCAGAAUUCCAGGUGUAGGGGUGAAAUCUGUAGAUAUGUGGAAGAAUACCAAUGGCGAAGGCAGCCUGCCAGCAGAUGACUGACGCUGAGGUGCGAAGGUGCGGGGAGCAAACAGGAUUAGAUACCCUGGUA
rnacentral:rRNA from 1 species